UACAGAGACUGCAAGCGUUAUUCGGAUUCACUGGGCGUAAAGGGUGCGCAGGCGGUUGGGUGUGUCAGAUGUGAAAUCCCGAGGCUCAACCUCGGAACUGCGUCUGAAACUACUCGACUAGAGUACUGGAGAGGGUAACGGAAUCGACGGUGUAGCAGUGAAAUGCGUAGAUAUCGUGAGGAACACCAGAGGCGAAGGCGGUUACCUGGACAGUUACUGACGCUCAGGCACGAAAGCAUGGGGAGCAAAAGGG
rnacentral:rRNA from 1 species